AUAGUGACCACACCGUUCCGUUUGCGCGACUGCUGGCACUUCGUGCAGUGAAGUAUCCUUUUCAGGCACCCUUUUUCGCAACAUGCACCGCUUCGCAGCUCUGGUUUUGGUAAUUGUGCUAGUGUCACACUGCCAGGCGGCAACACGUGUGGCACGUGCUCUAGCAUUUUAUCCAGCGUCACUUAUCACUCAUACAGGACAUGAAGACGAGUGCUACCUUGAAGAUUUCCAGAGCUACUUGAAAGUUGGAGCCACCAAGCACCUGAGAGAGUGCGCGGUGCUCAAAUGCAGCAAGGAGAAUGACGAACUUCUGCUAACACAUGAGACGUGCAGCUCGAUGCCCCCCAAACCCCACAGCUCCUGCACUGAGAUCCUGGUCGACCGUUUCGCCGUGUACCCGGAUUGUUGCCUAAAGCAAUAUGAUUGCGUGACGCACGGAUGAGCCUGCCAAUGGGACUGCAAUGCCAUGGAUUGACUUCCAGGACAGCUUUGCGUCGACAGGCAGCGCCAUAAGCGUGUCAGAGCGACGGCGUUUUUCGUCUAGCCACAUGCAUGUACGCCAAAUUUUCGGAAGGUAAAUCAUGCGGUGGCCGGUGGUAGUGAACAUGAAGGUCAAGCAGUAGUGCAGUAGUACAAGUCAGUCAGUAGUAGUACAAGGAGUACGACUGAGCGUAUCUAGCGCUAACAAAAAUACAUUGAAAA